GCUGGGCAUGGUGGCAUGUGCCUGUAGUCCCAGCUACUUGGGAGGCUGAGGUAGGAGGAUUGCUUGAGCCCAGGAGUUCGAGGCUACAGUGAGCUAUGAUUUUGCCACUGACUUCGGCCUGGGUGACAGAGUGAGACUCUGCCUCUA
rfam:Homo sapiens chromosome 17, GRCh38 reference primary assembly.